rnacentral:rRNA from 1 species
AUACGGAGGGUGCGAGCGUUGUUCGGAAUUAUUGGGCGUAAAGAGCAUGUAGGCGGUCUGUUAAGUCUGGUGAGAAAGCCCGGGGCUCAACCCCGGAAGUGCAUUGGAUACUGGCAGACUUGAGUAUGGGAGAGGAAAGCGGAAUUCCGAGUGUAGGAGUGAAAUCCGUAGAUAUUCGGAGGAACACCAGUGGCGAAGGCGGCUUUCUGGACCAAUGCUGACGCUGAGAUGCGAAAGCGUGGGGAGCAAACAGGAUUAGAAACCCCAGUAGUCC